AUUGAACGCUGGCGGCAUGCUUUACACAUGCAAGUCGAACGGCAGCGCGGGCUUCGGCCUGGCGGCGAGUGGCGAACGGGUGAGUAAUGCAUCGGAACGUGCCCAGUAGUGGGGGAUAGCCCGGCGAAAGCCGGAUUAAUAUCGCAUACGACCUGAGGGUGAAAGCGGGGGACCGAAAGGCCUCGCGCUAUUGGAGCGGCCGAUGUCGGAGUAGCUAGUUGGUGGGGUAAAGGCUUACCAAGGCGACGAUCCGUAGCUGGUCUGAGAGGACGACCAGCCACACUGGGACUGAGACACGGCCCAGACUCCUACGGGAGGCAGCAGUGGGGAAUUUUGGACAAUGGGGGCAACCCUGAUCCAGCCAUGCCGCGUGCGGGAAGAAGGCCUUCGGGUUGUAAACCGCUUUUGUUCGGGAAGAAAUCCUCUGGGCUAAUACCCCGGGGGGAUGACGGUACCGGAAGAAUAAGCACCGGCUAACUACGUG
rnacentral:rRNA from 1 species